UACGUAGGGCGCAAGCGUUGUCCGGAUUUAUUGGGCGUAAAGAGCGUGUAGGCGGCCAAGCAGGUCCGCUGUGAAAACUCGAGGCUCAACCUCGAGACGUCGGUGGAAACCGUUUGGCUAGAGUCCGGAAGAGGAGAGUGGAAUUCCCGGUGUAGCGGUGAAAUGCGCAGAUAUCAGGAGGAACACCGGUGGCGAAGGCGGGUCUCUGGGCAGUAACUGACGCUGAGGAGCGAAAGCGUGGGGAGCGAACAGG
rnacentral:rRNA from 1 species